rnacentral:rRNA from 1 species
UACGGAAGGGGCAAGCGUUGUUCGGAAUCAUUGGGCGUAAAGGGCGCGUAGGUGGUUCUGUAUGUCUACCGUGAAAGCAUACAGCUCAACUGUAUUUUGUCGGUAGAAACUGCAGGACUUGAGGCUGGGAGGGGCUGGUGGAAUUCCCUGUGUAGCGGUGAAAUGCGUAGAGAUGGGGGAGAACACUCGUGGCGAAGGCGGCCAGCUAGACCAGUUCUGACACUGAGGCGCGACGAGCGUGGGGAGCAAACAGG